GUCCCUUCGGGGACAUCCGAUAAAAUUGGAACGAUAUAGAGAAAAUUAGCAUGGCCCUGCGCAAGGAUGACACGCACAAAUCGAGAAAAGUAUAUGUGAAUU